rnacentral:rRNA from 1 species
GACGGAGGGUGCAAGCGUUGUUCGGAAUCACUGGGCGUAAAGCGCGUGUAGGCGGUUCGAUAAGUCGGACGUGAAAGCCCGGGGCUUAACCCCGGAAGGGCAUCCGAAACUGUCGAGCGUGAGUACGGGAGAGGGAAGCGGAAGUCCUGGUGGAGAGGUGAAAUUCGUAGAUCGCAGGAGGAAAACCGGUGGCGAAGGCGGCGUCCUGGAACGAUACUGACGCUGAGACGCGCAAUCGUGGGGAGCCAACAGGAUUAGAUACCCGGGUAGUCC